AUGUGUCGAAGGCACGCCCCACCGACAUGGGGCUGGCGACAUGGCACUCCGCCGUCGAGACCAAAGGACUACAUGGCAACGGAGGAUGAACAUUUGGUGCUCCAUAGCCGACAUCUCGAUCACCACCUUGUGGCUGGAUCUUGGGUGGCGCGAUGGGUCGGUGUGAUGGGCCAUCACCAUGACCGGCACCGGCGGCGGUGGCGAGGGGAAGCGAAUGCGCUUUCUGACCAGGUCGCGACCCACACGGGAACCCGGCUUUGCCUUCAUAGGAGCACGCCCUUCCGUCCUUCGUGGAUUGCUUGGACAGUCUUUACCGAUGUGGCCUGGAAGCUUGCAGACGAUGCAGUGAACUGGAUCCCUACAGUCUACCCAUCGGUGUUCGGUGCUGAGGCAUCUGAAGCAGAGACCUUAGAAGCACCUUAA
rnacentral:rRNA from 1 species